ensembl:lncRNA
AUAUACCACUUAGCAUAGAGGGUUUUACAACUACAGUUAAUAUCAGGACCUUGAGGUGAGAGGGGCAGGCUGGUUAUCCAGCUGGGGCCAAUUUAAUCACAUGCUUUCUUAAAAGCAGAGAGCCUUUCCCACUUGUGGCGAGAGAGGGAAGAUGGCGGAAGGGCGGUGAGAGACUCAACAUGGCUGACUUUCAAGAUGGAGGAAGAGGCUGGGCGUCACGGGGAGCAGGUGGCCCUGAGAAGCUGGGAGAUUCUUUGGAAAUUUCACUGCAUUGGACUAUAUGAUACAGAGCCCUGUGAAUUGGACCAGCCAGGCAUGAAUCAAUUCCAUUUUCCAUCACAGAGAAACAGUUGCUAAGUCGUGUCCGACUCUUCGGGACCCAAUGACUGCAGCACACAAGGUCUCCCUGUCCCUCACCAUCUCCUGGAGUUUGCCCAAGUUCAUGUCCAUUGAAUUGGUGAUGCCAUCCAACCAUCUCAUCCUCUGUGACCCUCUCCUCCUUCUGCCUUCAGUCUUUCCCAGCGUUAAAGCACAGUCUACCAGCCUAAAAGGGUGUGUGCUUUCUCUAACAUUAAACCAUCUGUAACACCUCAACUAUUGUUAAUAUGGAGCAUUUUAAAGGGCUUGUUGUUGUUGUUGUUGUUUUUCUGAAUGUUAGCUAGAAUGUUUCUGGAGAUCAUUUUGCAGUAGAUAUGAGUACUAAAUUAUUCUGCUCUACAUCCGAAACUAGUAUAAUC